UGCACACUUGACGUCCAUUUGGAAAACCUCAAAGUUUUUGUGAGCAGCAUAGGCCAGAAAUAUUCUAACAGAUUCUAGCCUAGCUACUGGAGCGAACGUCUCUUCGUAAUCUAUUCCUUCCUCCUGACAGUAUCCCUUGACCACCAGACGAGCCUUGUUCCUUAUGACAUUACCUUCCUUGUCCAUUUUGUUCCUAAAAACCCAUUUGAGACCAACAACCGAAGCAUCUGGAGGAGUUGGAAUGAGGCGCCAGACUUUGUUCCUUUCAAACUCGUUCAGUUCGUCUUGCAUUGCUUGAACCCAAUCAGAGUGAUCGAGGGCAGUGUUCACUGUCUUCGGUUCAACUUUUGAUACGAAUGAGUUAAACAUACAAAACUCAACCUUUGAAAAUAAGGAUGUCUGUUUUGCCUUCAGUUGAGAUCGGGUCAGAACCUUUUCAGAUACAUCACCAACUACUUGAGAGAUAGGAUGAUCUCUGGUCCAUUUGGUAAGAGGAGGGUAAUUCGGAUCGAAGGUUGGAUCUAGUUCAGCGUUGAUCAUCUCUUCUGGCUCAGAUUGGCUAUCGUAAUCAAGCGUCAUAUCAUCAUGCUCCCCCUCAAUUGAUGAGUCUUGAGAAACAUGAGGUUCAGGGGUUUCUUGUGGUGCUGGACUUUCAGGCGUUGAAGCACCUUCGUUUGGAGGGGCAUCUUCGGUUGGAGAGGCACCUUCGGUUGGUGAAGGACCUUCGGUUGAAGUAGUAGAGCUUGGCUCCCCCUGGACUUGUGAGCUUGGCUCCCCCUCGACAUGAGAACUUGGCUCCCCCUCGACUGAAGCAUUGUUGGAUGGAGAUUCAUCAGUGGGCGAUUCUCCUUCAUGCAUUCUUCUUGCAGCAUCUUCGACAAUUUGCUUCAUAUGAUCAACUUUGUUGUCAGCUGCACCUGCUUCUGAGAGAGAAGCUUUUUCCGGUUCGUCAAAGAGUUCCAGAAAAUUCUCGUACAAAUUGGCGAUUGAGACUGUGACUUGGCCAGUUUGAGGAAAGAUUUCCCUGGCAGUGUCAUCUAUGGCCUGUAGCUUCUUGACAUAGCUAUCGUCGAAGGUCACAUAGUAUGUCUCUUCAAUCCUUCUUGAACGUUUGUUUAGGACCCUGUACGCCUUGGAUGUGAGUGAGUAACCCAGAAAGAUUCCCUCGUCGGCUUUGACAUCAAACUUGUUGCGGUGUUCUUUAGAGUUAAAGAUGAAACACCUUGAGCCAAACACAUGGAAAAAUUUCACAUUGGGUUUUCUGUUAUUUAUUAUCUCAUAUGGUGUGAGCGUGAAUCGCUUAUUGAGAUAGGACCUGUUCUGUGUAUAACAAGCAGCAGAAAUAGCGUCAGCCCAAAAAUAAAGAGGUAAGGAAGCGAAACUUAGCAUAGUUCGGGCAGCUUCACACAAGGAUCGGUUUCGUCUUUCGACUAUUCCGUUCUGUUGUGGUGUGUAGGGAGCUGAGAAAUUGUGACUAAUUCCCUUUUCUGCAAGAAACUCUUCAAACUCCUUGUUCUUGAAUUCGAGACCAUUGUCGCUCCUGAUGUUUCGAACGACCUUCUUGAGCUGGACUUCAAUUUGCUUGAUAAACACUUUCAGCUUUUGAGUCGCUUCAGAUUUGAGCUUUAGAAAGAACACCCAUGUAAAUCGUGAAAAGUCAUCAACGAUAACAAGAAUAUACUUGCUACCACCGAUGCUUUCGAUAGAUGAAGGACCACACAAAUCGAUAUGAAGCAAUUCGAGUGGUUCAACAACUUUUGUGUUGAUUACAGAUGGGUGACUUUGACGACUCUGCUUUCCCAUUUCGCAUGCAGCACACAAAUGCUCUCUGUCGAACUUGAGCAAUGGAAGACCCCUAACAUGACCUCCAGUGACAAGUCGGUUGAUAUCUUUGAAAUUGAGAUGAGAGAGUCUUCGGUGCCACAACCAGCUUUCGUCGGAUUGAGCUUUUGAUAACAGACAUAUGGCUGGGUUUCCUUUGAUGGGUUUCAUGUUCAGAGGAAACAUUUCACCCUUUCGCUCUGACUUUAGAAUCACUUUCUUUGUCUUUUUCUCUAUGAUUUCAGAACCUUCAUCAUCGAAUGAGACUUUGAGACCUGUACCUCCAACAAGCUGAGAUACACUGAUGAGGUUGUGUUGGAGUCCUUCCACAUAAGCCACCUUCCUUAUUGUAAAGUCACCAUUCGUUAUCAUCCCGUAUCCCUUUAUGGUGCCGAAAGAGUUAUUUCCAAACUUAACGUUGCCACCAUUUGCAAGAGAUCUGUAUUCCCUGAGCUCCUCUUUCCUCCCUGUCAUGUGACGCGAGCAGCCACUAUCGAUGUACCAUUCUUCGUCAAACUGCUCGUCACUUAUAACCUGCAAAAAUUAAGCAGAUUUAGGAACCCAAAGUUUCUUGGGUCCAUGUGAGCUUUUCAUGGGAACGGGAAUAGUAAGAGAGAUGUCAACUAGAUAUGUUCGUUUUAUUAGAGUUGUUUCAUCUUUCUUUUUAAUGGUAAAGACUUUUAUUUUGUUAGGAUUGGGUGUGUUCGUUUUGGA
rnacentral:lncRNA from 1 species